rnacentral:tRNA from 1 species
UCCCGUGUGGCUCAGUUGGUAAAGCAUGGUGUUUGCAAUGCCAGGGUUGUGGGUUUGAUUCCUACAGGGAA